ensembl:lncRNA
UGAAUCUGUAAUGCAUCCAGUUUUUAGUUUGUGCACAAUUUUCCUCUCCUAUACCACGAGGUUUUUGUUUUUGUUUUUGCGGCAAACGUGGCUCAGUCAUCAUAUUUUUGCUUUGUAACACAGGGAAGUAUCCUGCUGAAAGAGGCCACAGCCAGGGGCAGGGAAUAGGAUGCAAUGCUUAGGUAGGACGGAUGAAGCCUAAUGACUCCUUUGAACUGCCGACAUCCCCGGCAGAUUGGAUUCGGGAAUGUCAGCCAACUAACCUUUAGUCUCUUUCCCACAUGAAGCAACAGUGAAGGGCACGUAAUACCAAUCUUUCGAUUCAUGUCCCUCUCCUGUAUUCAUAAUCAGGAUAUGCUGGCAUAGUGUGAAAGGAAGGCAAAAAGUGAAGAAGAAGAAGCAUUGUCAAACUCAUGCUUCACCACGGACACUCAUAGGAUCUUUCUCUGUGCGCCCCUCUGUUUCUCAAUCUUAGCGUCUUAUAAAACUGCCUGAGUUUCUCCUUUGGAUGGGCCAUGCUGUCUUGUGGUGAUUUAAAGGGAAGAAGGGAGAUCAUGCUGGAUCAUGGCAGACCCACCACAGCACAGAGACCUCCCUGCCGAUGAGCAAACACCACGACAAAUGGCAGAGCUAGCUGGACAAUCACUUGCUGAAUGGAAGCUAAUUAGCUGGAGUCUAAUGCCAGUUUACUAACACCUGUAUUAGUGUGCUCGCUCGGCAGGGAGUAAGGGCUGGCCAACAAGUGCUAAUCCCUCAUAAGCCCAAAGUACUCCUCCCAAACAGUGGCAUUAACAUAUACUUCUCAAGCCAGCUGUUGCUAACCUGAACCCAAAAGAGACAGCUUCAACAGUGAUGUGUUGCUAAAGAGGAGGGGAAAGAUCGGUAACGGGUUACCUAUGCAUUCCUGUAGAAUCCCCCCCCCCCCGAAAUGCUG